AGAGUUUGAUUAUGGCUCAGGACGAACGCUGGCGGCGUGCUUAACACAUGCAAGUCGAGCGGAAAGGCCACUUCGGUGGUACUCGAGCGGCGAACGGGUGAGUAACACGUGAGUAAUCUGCCCUGGACUUUGGGAUAGCCACCGGAAACGGUGAUUAGUACCGGAUACGACGACUCCACGCAUGUGGUGGUCGUGGAAAGUUUUUCGGUUCAGGAUGUGCUCGCGGCCUAUCAGCUUGAUGGUGGGGUAAUGGCCUACCAUGGCUUCGACGGGUAGCCGGCCUGAGAGGGUGACCGGCCACACUGGGACUGAGACACGGCCCAGACUCCUACGGGAGGCAGCAGUGGGGAAUAUUGGACAAUGGGCGGAAGCCUGAUCCAGCAACGCCGCGUGAGGGAUGACGGCCUUCGGGUUGUAAACCUCUUUCAGUACCGACGAAGCGAAAGUGACGGUAGGUACAGAAGAAGCACCGGCCAACUACGUGCCAGCAGCCGCGGUAAUACGUAGGGUGCGAGCGUUGUCCGGAAUUAUUGGGCGUAAAGGGCUCGUAGGCGGUUUGUCGCGUCGGGAGUGAAAACACUGGGCUUAACUCAGUGCUUGCUUCCGAUACGGGCAGACUAGAGGUAUGCAGGGGAGAACGGAAUUCCUGGUGUAGCGGUGAAAUGCGCAGAUAUCAGGAGGAACACCGGUGGCGAAGGCGGUUCUCUGGGCAUUACCUGACGCUGAGGAGCGAAAGUGUGGGGAGCGAACAGGAUUAGAUACCCUGGUAGUCCACACCGUAAACGUUGGGCGCUAGGUGUGGGAUCCAUUCCACGGGUUCCGUGCCGCAGCUAACGCAUUAAGCGCCCCGCCUGGGGAGUACGGCCGCAAGGCUAAAACUCAAAUGAAUUGACGGGG
rnacentral:rRNA from 1 species